rnacentral:rRNA from 1 species
GAAUAUUGGACAAUGGGCGCAAGCCUGAUCCAGCCAUGCCGCGUGGGUGAAGAAGGCCUUCGGGUUGUAAAGCCCUUUUGUUGGGGAAGAAAUCGUACGGGUGAAUAUCCCGUGCGGAUGACGGUACCCAAAGAAUAAGCACCGGCUAACUUCGUGCCAGCAGCCGCGGUAAUACGAAGGGUGCAAGCGUUACUCGGAAUUACUGGGCGUAAAGCGUGCGUAGGCGGUCUGUUAAGUCUGUCGUGAAAGCCCUGGGCUCAACCUGGGAAUUGCGAUGGAUACUGGCAGGCUAGAGUACGGUAGAGGAUGGUGGAAUUCCCGGUGUAGCGGUGAAAUGCGUAGAGAUCGGGAGGAACACCCGUGGCGAAGGCGGCCAUCUGGACCAGUACUGACGCUGAGGCACGAAAGCGUGGGGAGCAAACAG